rnacentral:rRNA from 1 species
GAUGAACGCUCGCGAUAGGCUUAACACAUGCAAGUCGAGGGGCAGCACAAGGUAGCUUGCUAUCUGGGUGGCGACCGGCGCACGGGUGCGUAACGCGUAUGCAACUUGCCCUAUACAGGAGGAUAACCCGUCGAAAGACGGACUAAUACUGCGUAUGCUCACAACUUGGCAUCAAGUGGUGAGGAAAGAAAUUCGGUAUAGGAUAGGCAUGCGUCCCAUUAGCUUGUUGGUGAGGUAACGGCUCACCAAGGCAACGAUGGGUAGGGGAACUGAGAGGUUUAUCCCCGACACUGGUACUGAGACACGGACCAGACUCCUACGGGAGGCAGCAGUGAGGAAUAUUGGUCAAUGGGCGCGAGCCUGAACCAGCCAAGUCGCGUGAAGGAUGACUGUCUUAUGGAUUGUAAACUUCUUUUAUACGGGAAUAACAAGAGUCACGUGUGACUCCCUGCAUGUACCGUAUGAAUAAGCAUCGGCUAACUCCGUG